rnacentral:rRNA from 1 species
UAAGACGUAGGAUGCAAGCGUUAUCCGGAAUUAUUGGGGCAUAAAGAGUUCGUAGGCGGUUUGUUAAGUUGGAUGUUAAAUUUUUGAGCUCAACUUACAAAAAGUAUCCAAACUGGCAAACUGGAGACUGGUAGAGGUAAGUGGAAUUCUGCAUGUAGGGGUAAUAUCCGUAGAUAUGCAGAGGAACACCAAAAGCGAAGGCAGCUUACUGGACCAGUUCUGACGCUCAAGAACGAAAGCGUGGGUAGCGAACGGGAUUAGAUACCCCGGUAGUCCACGCCCUAAACGAUGAACACUAGGUAUUGGAGGUCUCGACCCCUUCAGUGCCGACGCAAAUGCAAUAAGUGUUCCGCCUGGGUAGUACGAGCGCAAGCUUAAAACUCAAAGGAAUAGACGGGGACCCACACAAGCGGUGGAGCAUCUGGUUUAAUUCGACAAUAAGCGAGGAACCUUACCAAGGCUUGACAUCCCGAGAAGAUCGCCGAAAGGUGAUUGUGCCGUUAGGAACUCGGUGACAGGUGCUGCAUGGUUGUCGUCAGCUCGUGCCUUGAGGUGUUCGGUUAAGUCCGUGAACGAGCGCAACCCUUGUCUCAAGUUGCAUAUUUCUUGAGAGACUGCCGGUUUCAAAUCGGAGGAAGGUAAGGAUGACGUCAAAUCAGCAUGGCCCUUAUGUCUUGGGCGACACAGGUGCUACAAUGGCCGGCACAAUGGGCAGCGAAGGAGCAAUUUGGAGCAAAUCCUCAAAACCGGUCCAAGUUCGAAUUGAAGGCUGCAACUCGCCUUCAUGAAGUUGGAAUCGCUAGUAACCGCAUAUCAGCCAUGGUGCGGUGAAUCCGUUCCUGGGUCUUGUACUCACCGCCCGUCAAGUCAUGAAAGAUGGGGGUGCCCGAAGUACCCUUAGCUAAUUUAGCGGGGUCCUAAGGCAAAACCAUUGA